UGAUAGCGUGGAAGCGGAGGUUGCUACGCGUUAAAGCGUAGGUUAUUUCGUGGAGCGAAUGUCAAGUUCAGAGAAACUGGCGACAA
rnacentral:ncRNA from 1 species